rnacentral:rRNA from 1 species
AGUGGCGGACGGGUGAGUAACGCGUGGGUAACCUGCCUCAUACAGGGGGAUAACAGUUAGAAAUGACUGCUAAUACCGCAUAAGACCACAGCACCGCAUGGUGCAGGGGUAAAAACUCCGGUGGUAUGAGAUGGACCCGCGUCUGAUUAGGUAGUUGGUGGGGUAACGGCCUACCAAGCCGACGAUCAGUAGCCGACCUGAGAGGGUGACCCGGCCACAUUGGGACUGAGACACGGCCCAA